UACGUAGGGGGGCAAGCGUUGUCCGGAUUUAUUGGGCGUAAAGAGCUCGUAGGCGGUUUGUCGCGUCGGCUGUGAAAGCCCCGGAGCUCAACUCCGGGUCUGCAGUCGAUACGGGCAGACUUGAGUGUUGCAGGGGAGACUGGAAUUCCUGGUGUAGCGGUGAAAUGCGUAGAUAUCAGGAGGAACACCGUGGUGGUAGUGGAGA
rnacentral:rRNA from 1 species